rnacentral:rRNA from 1 species
AUGAGUCUCUUCGGCUUGGGAAGCAAGAACCAAAGGACAUUUAGGCCCAAGAAGAAUGCACCAUCUGGUAAUAAGGGCGUACAGUUGAAGAAACACAUUGAUGCGACAUUAGGAAAUGGUAAUUUGAGAGAUGUUGUACGGUUGCCUCCUGGAGAGGAUCUCAAUGAAUGGUUGGCUGUUAAUACUGUUGAUUUCUUCAAUCAGGUGAACAUACUGUACGGCACACUGAUGGAGUUCUGCACGCCUUACACAUGCCCAACGAUGACAGCUGGAUCGAAGUUUGAGUAUAGAUGGGCCGACGGAGUGCAGAUCAAGAAACCUAUCGAGGUUUCGGCACCAAAAUACGUGGAGUAUUUGAUGGACUGGAUUGAGAUCCAACUUGAUGAUGAGUCCAUAUUCCCUCAAAAACUUGGAACACCUUUCCCACAAAAUUUUCGAGAUGUUGUGAAGACAAUAUUCAAGCGCCUUUUCCGUGUUUAUGCUCAUAUUUACCACACUCAUUUUCAGAAAAUUGUGAGCCUGAAGGAAGAAGCCCAUCUUAACACAUGCUUCAAGCAUUUUACAUUGUUCACCUGCGAGUUCAAAUUGAUCGACAAGGCUGAACUUGCACCACUUAUUGAUCUUAUUGAAUCAAUCGUGACUGUUUGCUAA